AUGCACGGACUGCAUAAACACCCUUACCUCACACAGAUCUAUGAAGUGAGGGCAAAGUGGGCGAAACCAUACUUCAAGGGUAAUUUUUGCGCAAAAAUGACAAGCACACCAUGCAGCGAGAGUGCCAACCAUAUGCUCAAGGAAUACCCGGCAAGUUGCCCCAUGCAUUUAUUUGUACGGAAAUACAUGAGGCUUCUUUUUGAUCGGCAAGCAAGCGAGAACUAUGAAGAACGGCGUACAAAGACAGUAAGUACAUUUAUGUAUGCAUAA
rnacentral:rRNA from 1 species